AGAGUUUGAUCAUGGCUCAGGACGAACGCUGGCGGCGUGCUUAACACAUGCAAGUCGAACGGAAAGGCCCUUCGGGGUACUCGAGUGGCGAACGGGUGAGUAACACGUGGGUGAUCUGCCCUGCACUUUGGGAUAAGCCUGGGAAACUGGGUCUAAUACCGAAUAUGACCACGCUCUUCAUGGGGUGUGGUGGAAAGCUUUUGCGGUGUGGGAUGGGCCCGCGGCCUAUCAGCUUGUUGGUGGGGUAAUGGCCUACCAAGGCGACGACGGGUAGCCGGCCUGAGAGGGUGACCGGCCACACUGGGACUGAGAUACGGCCCAGACUCCUACGGGAGGCAGCAGUGGGGAAUAUUGCACAAUGGGCGCAAGCCUGAUGCAGCGACGCCGCGUGAGGGAUGACGGCCUUCGGGUUGUAAACCUCUUUCACCAGGGACGAAGCGCAAGUGACGGUACCUGGAGAAGAAGCACCGGCCAACUACGUGCCAGCAGCCGCGGUAAUACGUAGGGUGCGAGCGUUGUCCGGAAUUACUGGGCGUAAAGAGCUCGUAGGUGGCUUGUCGCGUUGUUCGUGAAAACUCACAGCUUAACUGUGGGCGUGCGGGCGAUACGGGCAGACUAGAGUACUGCAGGGGAGACUGGAAUUCCUGGUGUAGCGGUGGAAUGCGCAGAUAUCAGGAGGAACACCGGUGGCGAAGGCGGGUCUCUGGGCAGUAACUGACGCUGAGGAGCGAAAGCGUGGGGAGCGAACAGGAUUAGAUACCCUGGUAGUCCAA
rnacentral:rRNA from 1 species